rnacentral:lncRNA from 1 species
UUCUAAUAUCUAAUAUUUUAAUAAAACAAUUGCUAUAUUUUAUACAUCUCUGGAAAAGACCUCCAAUAUUGAAAACGUUUUUAACAGAAAAAUAAUCUAAAUCACGUUUAAUUUUCGAAUUUGUCAUAAAACAACCCAAAAUUGUGUAGGUAAGUAAUAAAAUUGUUUGCAUAACUUUACAUCCAAUGUACCUACUUUCGCUUUCGAAGUCUCUUUUGGUCAGUACUCAAAGAUCUUACGACUGGACUGGUUUAGUGAUAGCAAGUGUGGGAGUUUGUAAAUUAUUAUGUUGAAAACAGAGUAUUCAAUUACACUAAUUUUUAGUUUAAUUCAUGUUGGCCAUACUAUUCCCCCAGGUGAAAACGGUAAAGACCUACCCAAUAACUUUCAUCUGGAGCAAUAUCAAUCCAGAAUAAAAA